UUGAGACCAGCCUGGCCAACAUGUGAAACCCCAUCUCUACUAAAAAUACAAAAAUUAAUGGCUGUAGGGACAGGCGCUUGUAAUCCCAGCUACUCAGGAGGCUGAGGCACAAGAAUCACUUGAACCUGGAAUACCCUUCUGGAAAUAGUCUUUGUUAUUAUUUGGGUCAGUUGAGUUUUUUUGUUGUAAGCAACAGAAACUAACUUAAAUGAAAAAGAGAUUUCCUUUCAAGCCAUAUAGGAGUAGCUUACAGAAUCAAAGGCAUUGCUGAAUGACCAAGAGGAACAGGAAUUGGGAAGGUGACAGAAAUCUUAGAAACAAAAGUU
rnacentral:lncRNA from 1 species